rnacentral:rRNA from 1 species
UUUAACUAUAAUCGUAAACCCAUUAUCAGUACUGAGCGGCUUUAUAAUAUAUAAAAGUCACCAUGCUAAAACUAGUAACAAGAAAAUGAAUUUCUCCAAAGUGCAAGUUUAAGCCGACAUGGACAUUCCACCGGCACCUAACGAUAAUGAGUCCACCAUAACAACACUCCUAGAAAAACUUAUUAAAACCCAUCGUUUACCUUACACAAGAACACUUCUGGAAAGAUUAAAAGGAAAAGAAGGAACUCGGCAAACCUUGGCCCCGCCUGUUUACCAAAAACACCGCCUCUUGCUAAGAUAUAAGAGGUCCAGCCUGCCCAGUGACUCUUAAACGGCCGCGUGAUUUUAAGCGCGCAAAGGUAGCAUAAUCACUUGUUCCUUAAAUAGGGACCCGUAUCAAAGGCCUGACGAGGGCCAUACUGUCUCCUUUUCCCAAUCAGUGAAACUAAUCCCCCUGUGAAAAAGCAGGAAUAUCAUCAUAAGACGAGAAGACCCCAUGGAGCUUUAAAUGAAGCGACAAGCCACCACAACUAAAACCAACAAAUCAUAGGGCCCCUGUUCGCUAAUUUUAGGUUGGGGCGACCGCGGAGUAAAACUUAACCUCCACGACUAAAGGAACUAUGUCCUAAUCAAAGAAAAACCCAUCUAGGAAUCAACAACUUGACAUUAAAUGACCCGACCAUCGAUCAACGGACCAAGUUACCCUGGGGAUAACAGCGCAAUCCAUUUUGAGAGUCCAUAUCGACAAAUGGGUUUACGACCUCGAUGUUGGAUCAGGGUAUCCCGGCGGUGCAGCAGCUGCCAAAGG